AGUGAACGCUGGCGGUAGGCCUAACACAUGCAAGUCGAACGGCAGCACAGUAAGAGCUUGCUCUUACGGGUGGCGAGUGGCGGACGGGUGAGGAAUACAUCGGAAUCUACUUUUUCGUGGGGGGUAACGUAGGGAAACUUACGCUAAUACCGCAUACGACCUACGGGUGAAAGCAGGGGAUCUUCGGACCUUGCGCGAUUGAAUGAGCCGAUGUCGGAUUAGCUAGUUGGCGGGGUAAAGGCCCACCAAGGCGACGAUCCGUAGCUGGUCUGAGAGGAUGAUCAGCCACACUGGAACUGGGACACGGUCCAGACGCCUACGGGAGGCAGCAGUGGGGAAUAUUGGACAAUGGGCGCAAGCCUGAUCCAGCGAUACCGCGUGGGUGGAGAAGGCCUUCGGGUUGUAAAGCCCUUUUGUUGGGAAAGAAAAGCAGCAGGUUAAUACCCCGCUGUUCUGACGGUACCCAAAGAAUAAGCACCGGCUAACUUCGUG
rnacentral:rRNA from 1 species